UCCUGGAAAUAGCCUCCCUAUUAGACCGUACCCGAAACCGACACAGGUGGUCAGGUAGAGAAUACCAAGGCGCUUGAGAGAACUGCGUUGAAGGAACUCGGCAAAUUGCACGCGUAACUUCGGAAGAAGCGUGACCCUUUUGCGGGCAACCGCGGGAGGGUGGCACAGACCAGGGGGUAGCGACUGUUUAUCAAAAACACAGG
rnacentral:rRNA from 1 species